rnacentral:rRNA from 1 species
CCUACGGGACGCAGCAGUGGGGGAUAUUGCACAAUGGGGGAAACCCUGAUGCAGCGACGCCGCGUGGGUGAAGAAGCGCCUCGGCGCGUAAAGCCCUAUCAGCAGGGAAGAAGAUGACGGUACCUGACUAAGAAGCCCCGGCUAAAUACGUGCCAGCAGCCGCGGUAAUACGUAUGGGGCAAGCGUUAUACGGAUUUACUGGGUGUAAAGGGAGCGCAGGCGGCCUGGCAAGCCUGAUGUGAACUACCGGGGCCCAACCCCGGGGCUGCAUUGGGAACUGCCGGGCUGGAGUGCCGGAGAGGCCG